rnacentral:SRP_RNA from 1 species
GCUGGGUGUGGUGGCUCACACCUGUAAUCCCAGUACUUUGGGAGGCCGAGGUGGGAGGAUCACCUGAGGUCAGGAGUUUGAGACCAUCCUGGCCAACAGGGUGAAACCCCGUCUCUA